rnacentral:rRNA from 1 species
UGGGGAAUAUUGCGCAAUGGGCGAAAGCCUGACGCAGCAACGCCGCGUGAGUGAUGAAGGCCUUCGGGUCGUAAAGCUCUGUCGGAGGGAACGAAUGCUCCUGAAGUUAACAGCCUCAGGAGGUGACGGUACCCUCAAAGGAAGCACCGGCUAACUCUGUGCCAGCAGCCGCGGUAAUACGUAGGGUGCGAGCGUUAAUCGGAAUUACUGGGCGUAAAGCGUGCGCAGGCGGUUUGGUAAGACAGAUGUGAAAUCCCCGGGCUUAACCUGGGAACUGCAUUUGUGACUGCCAGACUAGAGUGUAGCAGAGGGGGGUAGAAUUCCACGUGUAGCAGUGAAAUGCGUAGAUAUGUGGAGGAAUACCGAUGGCGAAGGCAGCCCCCUGGGCUAACACUGACGCUCAUGCACGAAAGCGUGGGGAGCAAACAGGAUUAGAUACCCACGUAGUCCCUGAGCGGGCUGGCAAGGCGCAU